CCCGCAACGAGCGCAACCCUUAUCCUUUGUUGCCAGCGCGUCAUGUCGGGAACUCAAAGGAGACUGCCGGUGAUAAACCGGAGGAAGGUGGGGAUGACGUCAAGUCAUCAUGGCCCUUACGAGUAGGGCUACACACGUGCUACAAUGGCGCAUACAAAGAGAAGCGACCUCGCGAGAGCAAGCGGACCUCACAAAGUGCGUCGUAGUCCGGAUCGGAGUCUGCAACUCGACUCCGUGAAGUCGGAAUCGCUAGUAAUCGUGGAUCAGAAUGCCACGGUGAAUACGUU
rnacentral:rRNA from 1 species